rnacentral:rRNA from 1 species
GACUGGCGCACGGGUGAGUAACGCGUAUCCAACCUUCCCAUAACUACGGGAUAACCCGUUGAAAGACGGCCUAAUACCGUAUGACAUCGUUUGCUGACAUCAAAUAACGAUUAAAGGUUUAGCGGUUAUGGAUGGGGAUGCGUCUGAUUAGCUUGUUGGCGGGGUAACGGCCCACCAAGGCGACGAUCAGUAGGGGUUCUGAGAGGAAGGUCCCCCACAUUGGAACUGAGACACGGUCCAAACUCCUACGGGAGGCAGCAGUGAGGAAUAUUGGUCAAUGGGCGAGAGCCUGAACCAGCCAAGUAGCGUGCAGGAAGACGGCCCUAUGGGUUGUAAACUGCUUUUAUGUGGGGAUAAAGUGCGUGACGUGUCGUGCAUUGCAGGUACCACAUGAAUAAGGACCGGCUAAUUCCGUGCCAGCAGCCGCGGUAAUACGGAAGGUCCGGGCGUUAUCCGGAUUUAUUGGGUUUAAAGGGAGCGUAGGCUGUCUAUUAAGCGUGUUGUGAAAUUUACCGGCUCAACCGGUGGCUUGCAGCGCGAACUGGUCGACUUGAGUAUGCAGGAAGUAGGCGGAAUUCAUGGUGUAGCGGUGAAAUGCUUAGAUAUCAUGACGAACUCCGAUUGCGCANGCAGCNNNCUGUAGCAUAACUGACGCUGAUGCUCAAAAGUGCGGGUAUC